rnacentral:ncRNA from 1 species
AAUGAUAGAGGCGCGAAACGCAUAAGUAUCCCGCAUAAAGAAAAGGCGCAGGGCGGGCGAAAGGGCGUUUUGCCGAAAGGGUCGCCGCCCGCCUUUGCCGGCGCUCUUGGGGCGUAGUCCGAAAGGCUGCGCACUGUCACAGAAAUGUGGAGCGCUAUCUU